rnacentral:rRNA from 1 species
GAUGAACGCUAGCGGCAGGCCUAAUACAUGCAAGUCGAACGGUGUCUUCGGACAUAGUGGCGCACGGGUGCGUAACACGUAUGCAACCUACCUUACAUUGGGGGAUAGCCUUUCGAAAGGGAGAUUAAUACCGCAUAAGACAGUAGCUGGGCAUCCAGCAGCUGUUAAAGAUUUAUCGAUGUAAGCUGGGCAUGCGUCCAAUUAGCUAGUUGGUGAGGUAACGGCUCACCAAGGCAAUGAUUGGUAGGGGAACUGAGAGGUCAAUCCCCAACACUGGCACUGAGAUACGGGCCAGACUCCUACGGGAGGCAGCAGUAGGGAAUAUUGGGCAAUGGACGCAAGUCUGACCCAGCCAUGCCGCGUGCAGGAUGAAGGCGUUAUGCGUUGUAAACUGCUUUUAUACAGGAAGAAACGACCCUUGCGAGAGGCAUUGACGGUACUGUAUGAAUAAGCACCGGCUAACUCCGUGCCAGCAGCCGCGGUAACAC